rnacentral:piRNA from 1 species
UGAGGUCUAACAAAGGUUGAG